UGCAGAGCGCAUAGCCCCACUUCUCACUCAUGGUGCAGGCUGCCACUGAAAAGGAUGAUUCACAGAUACGGAGCUAGUUAUUGAUGGUGGGUAGCCAUGAAACAUCAAUGGAACAAGUUCUCGAUUGAAACAUAAGUAUGUCACUGGUUAUUGCUAAUUUCCUGUACUUCCUGAUGCAGCCCAUUUCAAGAAAGAUACAACCUCUCCUCACAGACAUCUGUUGUAAACCAAGAUUAUGUCAAAACGAGAUGUGUGCAUGGUGACACCAUGAUGCAAAUGCUAUCUUCACCAACUUGUGUUUCAGUGCCUGACUGAAGUAUAUCAUGAGUUUUGUGUCAUGUUGUCUUGAUGCAUGUUUCAUCAUCUGUCCCUCAUGUCAUGCAUUUUUCUGAUUUUCCCACUCCCAUUUACAGAACCCAUCUCUACUGGUGGCCCUUACAUUUUAUCUCAGAGGCUCUUAAGUUUGCUUCUUUGGAAAUAUAACAUACCUGAGCUGCAAAAACCCAAGCAAUCCAAUCACUAGGUGGCAGCAAAGAGAUUCAGAAAAUUCUAACCCUUUGCUGCCACCUAGAGGUUGUCUGGGGAUUUUUGCAGCCCAGAUUUUGUGUAUCUGGCAUAAUAAAGAAACAAGAGAAUGACUGUCAGUUUGUGAGAAAACAUCUUUGAAAACCUGAUCCGCAUUCACCAUCUUCAUAAGUAUUCUUCCUUUCUCUCUACUCAACAAAAUGCAUACAGAUCCUUCUUAUUAGGUAUGUUUUUAAGAUAUUGAUCCCACUGCAAUUCAUGGGACAUGGAGUUCCACAGAGUACACUGCACCUUUAAUUUUGAUUGGAUAAACUUAGUUUGUAAAGUGCCUGGGCCUUUAGAAUUUAUGCAGCUUUUUUCAA